GCUCUCACGCCCCAUCGCGCACAGUUGAUGCUGCAGGGGGCAGGCAGAGGGCGUGGCUGCCAUGGCGCUGCUGGGCUGCCUGGGCGAUCUGCGGCAGGUCUUGGAGGUGGUGAGUGGACCUGCGGCAGGCAGGAUGGGAGAUGGGGUGGGAGCGGGGCAGGGCAGAGGGUAGAAUGGGGGUGGGGCCAGUUUUGGGGCACUUGGUCUCUAAAAGGUUCGCCAUCACUACCAUAUAGCAUAUUGCAAAAGGGUCAACCCAUUUUCAUUGUUGGAAACUUGUUUUACUCAGGUCCCACAAAAAUCCAAAUAUUUGCCUUUCAGCAUUUCUUCUUUUGAAAACACAGCUGGUAGGGAUUUCCAUCUUCCAAUAAAUCUGCAGCACUAGCCUUCACACAUGAAUUAGCAAAGUACUGAGUUCUUUGGAAUGGAAAGGUGACCUGAAAUAGCUGACUACAAGAAAAGCAAGGCACACGUCUCCCCAGGGUCUGUGAAGCCCCUCCAAAAAGGUUAGAAGCUUCUGAACAGCUGAUCUGUAGUGACAACUUAGAAAAGCUUAGGCCACCCUUUCUACAGUAUGGGCACAAGUGAUCGACAGGAAUUUAACUUUGAUUUCAUUCCUGCUUUUAUGCAAUCCACAAGAAAUCCACUAGGCAUUUACCUCUUUUUCAUUCUUUUUUUCCAUGAGUAAAAACUUUGCCAGCACAGCAUAAAUAAACUGCAACUUUUUUUUUUAACUAGGGAUUGUUGCAGCCAAAUGUGAGAACGAACUGUUCUCUUUCACUUUUGCUGAAAGGGAGGGAAAAGCUCUGUAGAAUUGUAGUGGGGAAUCUAGUACAAUCCUCUCCUAUGUCUAGCUGACUGUUGGAAAACAAUGGCUGAGGCAUGCUACAGAGUGGCUUCAUUCAUACAUUCUAAAAACCUAAAUCAUAGUUAACAAGCAGUAGUUAUGCAAUGUAAACUAAAAAAAUCGUAUAAUGCAACUUAAUACAAUGGGCAGGGCUCACAAAAUAUGCCAAGAUACGGUUUGAUUUUGGUUUAGGCACUGUUGCUUGUUACUAAUGAAUUAGCAUGUUUAUGAACUCCAGCAGUGCAAAAGGCAACAUUCAUUUCAAAACACCAAUACAUUAAAGAAAUUACUAAACAACUCAUUACACAAAACUAAAGCAAUGUUUACAAGACUAGCUAUGAUAAAAAUAAAUAAAAGCAUAUUAUGUCUUAAUGCACAGUAUGAAUCAGGAUACCAUAUUAGGCCAUAAUAAAACAUGCCUUUCUUGGAGAGAAUCUAUUUGGUUGCUAAGAGUCAUCACCAAUUUGACAGCACAUAAUUCAUCCAAUUGAUCUUUUUGUUACAACGUAUUAUAUGAAUAGCAUCUUUGGUUCAUUAAGUGUGGAUUAUGAUUUAGAAUGGUGUACAAACUCAGCCAUUCCUAUUUUGUGGAAACAAGUCUUUUUCUAAGAGAGACACUCUUGGCAGAUACUAAAAACUUACACCAUCUAGGUUCCUUCCACUAAAGACCAACCAGUAAUCAUUAUUAAAACACAGCUCUGUCCAAGACAUAGUAUGCCUCUUAGUUCCGUAACUUUGACAUUCUAUUAGUUAUUGUUGACCCAAGAGUUUUAUGUCGUUUAGAAUUGGCACACAAUCAGCAGGGGACACUGCGACCUACCAGCCACAGCUUCCAACAGCCCUAAACAUAGCCAGUGCAAAGAGAUACACCGACUUGCUUUUAGCAUCAUAUGCUUCCCUUGUAGCAUUUCCCCAAAUUCAAUUCCGAGACAUUGAAGAUUCCUAGGCACUAAUAGAGUUGGAGCAAAGAUUGCAACUUACAUCUUUAAAAUGUUCUGAGUCCAAGCUCUCAUCAACACAGUUAAUGCCAAGAAACUGUGAAAGUUCGAAGCAUGUAUAGCCCUCAGAUUGUCAACAAGGUUAAGAACAAGUUCCACCUUUCUUUAAUGUGAAUUUGUAUGUAAAUCAGAACUCAUACUUACAAAUGGGCUGUCUAGUACUAAAAAUGGCGGACAAUUUUCUCCUUCAAGAUGAUAGACUGCUGAAGGCAUGCUGUUUUUAUGAACUGCUGAAAACAGUUUAUAUAUUAAAAAAAUAAGCAGCUUCAGCAGUUUGUCAGCUUGAGGAAAGACAAUGUCAUCUGCCAUUUUUAGUAAUAGGAAACUCAACUGUAAGUAUGGGUUGUCCAUGUCAGAUGCUUUUAACCCAGGGGUUGUCUGUAUACCCAGGUUAACCUUAGCCACUUAUGAAAGGCUUGGAACUAAGGGGUCCAUUCUCCAAAACAUUCAGUCCUUCAUGUAUACAUGAAAGCCUAAGUCUUCAUCUAAGAGUUCUCAUUGCAUCUGGACACCAAUUAUUGGAACCUGCAUGUAUUUAACUCCACCCAUUUUAAAUGCUGUACAGCUUUUUAGGUCAGGACUGUCUUCUAAAUAAGGCACAUAAAGAUACCAGUCAUUUCUACCUCUCAAAGUGAAUGGAAACUGAGUGUAUUAAAUUAUUUCUAUGCACUUUAACUAUACUGUAUAAUAGAAAUUACUUUCCCCCCAGUCAUAUACCUCCCAAACUAAUUGCAGUCAUAUAUCUUUCUUCUUGAGCACUUUUGAUUAUUGGGGUUGCAGCCCUACUGCUUCAAUAAUUAAGUUCUUCACAAAUCAACACACCAAUCUGCUCCAAAUAUCUGGUGGCCUAGGUAAUCAAUGUAUAAAAAUAUUACCUGGCAGCUAAUUUAUCUUAAUAUCACUGUUGUGAACCAAUGCAUUGAAAAGUUGGGGGCAUCUUAAAAGUCUACAAAUGUUAUGGCAUAAACUGUCCUAAACUACAGGCAACUUCAUAUAUUAAAAUAUGGCCUAAGAAAAUAACAUAAAACUCUUGACAUAGAAGAUCUAAAUGAUUAUCCCACCCCACCCUGGAAUAAAUCUCAAAGCAUACUUUCCUCCAAAUCCCAUUUUUCCUUGGGAUUACAAUCUUUUUCACUCCAUAAUACAGCCACUACAGCAGCCAUCCAGUGGGCAGUUUACUUAUACUAAUAUUUCAUAGAUCUUUACCCCUUCCUAUGCAAGAUAAUGUGUAAACUAAUGAACAGUAGUUUAAUAUUUAGCUGCAGCAUCUCAAGAGCUUGAAAACUGCAGUUCAGAAAAAGUACCACACUGGUGUAGCAUAACUGAAAGGAUCAUUUCAUUGGUUUAUUGCUGAACACAACAUAGUCAAUAGUUUUUCCACAAUAUAGUAAGCCAAAAAUUAAUCCAAGAGUUUGAAUGCACAAAAUUUAUCAAGCCAGAAAUAAAAAAAAAUCAAAUUAAUGAAGUGUAAUUAUGCUCUGCAAAUGAAGCAACUAGAUCUUUGACCUGGAUAUUCAUACGAAUAGUUACCAAGUAUUAAACUAUAGUUUGCCAUCUACAGAUAAUCUAGUUAACCUACAACUGAGCUAUUAAUUCAGAAAAAAAUUUACUCACAGAAGAUUAAAGUUCAUAGGAAUGAGUUAAUGCUAUUUAAUUGAGCAUUAUAGGAAGUUUUAUCAAGACCCUUAAAAAAAGACUGACCUAAGAACAUAUACUAUGUCAAAUUCUAUGGGGGUUGGUGGGAUGGGGUAGCAUAGAUGGUGGCCAAACAGUUAUGAGUAAAUUUAAAAAUACUAUUAAAAGAACAAAAGAAUCUGGCAGAGUGGAACACAUUUAAAAACGCCCAGAAUUGUGACAAAUGUAGUACUCAGUCGAUGAGACUGCCGCUUUGGGGAAGUUUCCUGGAGAUGCAAUCCCCUCCUUCCUUCCAAGUUAAAAAAAAAAAAAUCAAUUUAACAGCAUCCUAUUCGAACUGACUCUCCAUUCCCCCACCCCAUCUCCAUAGGCGAGAAGAAAGCUUUGGCUUUCUUUGGCUUAAUCCACAUAACCAGAAGCCUGAGCAAUCCAAUCCCCACCCUGACCUCCUUAAGCGUCCUCUCAAUAAAGGUGCCGCUCCUCCGCUAAAAUACAUGCAGUGACUUAUCCAGCGGCAUGUCCUGCCGUGCAGCCGUUGGCCCUUUAAUUCCCGGGGAAGCCGGAGACCGACUAUUACUUUUAGGAAGCCCUGGUAUGCGCAUUCCGAACUACUGACACAUUUUCCGCCAGCCUGGCCUCCCCGAUGAUCCCACAUCCCGGCCCGAAGGACACCUCCACACGGACACGGAGUCCCCACCCACCCCGAAGAGAAGGCUGGGGUAAAUCAUGAGAGGCUGGGAUCCAACUUGUAAGCUGAGACUCUUAAGGCAUGGCCACCCACUUAUGGGCACGUGAGCUGGCUGAAUAGGAGGACUGCCACUUUUUCUUGAAGGCUCCACUGGCAGACAGACCUAUGAAAUGCAAGCAAAGAAAACCCAGGACAAGAAGAGCUGAGCCAGCAGAUUCUUCAGAUUGCAUUGCAUUGUUUAACCAAUGCAUGGGAGUUAAUUUCCAGGAGAGGAAAAUAUCACUUAGCUUGCAACACUGAAUUGAACAGCAAACCCCAAUUAAACCAUUUCUUUAUCUUCUUAUAAAUAUUAUUUACACGCAGCAAGGCAAAUCUAAAUAACUGCUCCUGGGGUAUGAAAAUUUCAAGUAUAUUUCACAGAUCUAUAUUGUAUGUUUUUUUUAAAAAAAAACACAGUUUACAUAGUAGAAGUAUUAUACGUCUUAAUAUUUUAUAAUUUUUCUAGUGAGCUCCAAACUGGACCCUUUGAACUCUACUAUCAAAUCUGGAAGCAGCAAACUGACAAAAAUUGUAGUAUAAGCCUAAGAAAGGGUUAUAUAUUGCUUUGAAUGCUGCAUUAUAAAACCUGCUCUCUUCUUAAAAAGAAAAGCAGGAUGCAAAUAUUUUAAAUUAAAGAAUUCUCUAAACCAGGGUUAGGAUACUGGUCCUACUGAUGAAAUAACAUGUGACAUAAACGCAUCUUCCACUCCUUGGUGUUUCCCUCCAUCAGUGCCUCAGAUACAUACUCCAAAGCCUGCUCAAUGAAAAACUAUUAAAUAAGCCUUUGGGUAACCCACAGAUUACUGCUCUCCAACAUAAAAGGAGGGCACUGCAGUGAAAUGUUUCUCAACCGUGGCAAUUUUAAGAUGUCUGGACAUCAUCUCUCAGCAUUCCACAGCCAGCAUAGUUGCCAAGCUUGGUAAGCACUGCUGCAGUGGGUCACAUUUAAACUAUUCCCAGGAUAUGCAUAUGAAGGCAGCGAUGAGGACACUGACAUUAACACUGAAAUACCCAUCUGCAAAGGAGAAAAAGCAUAAGGCUCCUGGUUGGUGCUUCAUGGCUAAUCCUAGAGCAGUGAUGGCGAACCUAUGGCACGGGUGCCAGAGGCGGCACUCAGAGGCCUCUCUGUGGGCAUGUGCGCCGUUGCCCCAGUCCUAGGCCUUCAGCUG